GAUGAAGAACGUAGCGAAAUGCGAUAAGUAAUGCGAAUUGCAGAAUUCAGUGAAUCAUCGAAUCUUUGAACGCACAUUGUGCCCGCUAGUAUUCUGGCGGGCAUGCCUGUCUGAGCGUCAUUUCAACCCUCGCCCCCGGCUUUUGCUGGGAGCGGUGUUGGGGAUCGGCCGCCCGUCACUGGGAGGCCGGCCCCGAAAUAGAGUGGCGACCACGCCGUGUGCUCCUCUGCGUAGUAGUAAAUCACCUCGCAGGCGGACAGCGGUGCGGCCUGCCGUAAAACCCCCAACUCUUUCUGGUUGACCUCAGAUCAGGUAGGAAUACCCGCUGAACUUAAGCAUAUCAAUAAGCGGAGGA
rnacentral:misc_RNA from 1 species